rnacentral:pre_miRNA from 1 species
AGAGGGAUAGCUGGGUCAAAUGGUGGUUCCAUUCCCAGAUUUCCAAGGAAUCUCCAUACUGCUUUUCAUAUUGGCUGUACUAAUUUGCAGUUCCACCAGCAAU